rnacentral:rRNA from 1 species
GACGAACGCUGGCGGCGUGCUUAACACAUGCAAGUCGAACGGAAAGGCCCUGCUUUUGUGGGGUGCUCGAGUGGCGAACGGGUGAGUAACACGUGAGUAACCUGCCCUUGACUUUGGGAUAACUUCAGGAAACUGGGGCUAAUACCGGAUAGGAGCUCCUGCUGCAUGGUGGGGGUUGGAAAGUUUCGGCGGUUGGGGAUGGACUCGCGGCUUAUCAGCUUGUUGGUGGGGUAGUGGCUUACCAAGGCUUUGACGGGUAGCCGGCCUGAGAGGGUGACCGGGCACACUGGAAGUGAGACACGGUGAAGAGUCCUAAGGGAGGCAGCAGUGGGGAAGAGUGGAGAACGGGCGGAAGCAUGAUCCAGCGAUGCCGCGUGUGUGAAGAAGGGCGUCGGAUUGGAAAGCACUGUAAGGUGGGAGGAAGGGAAGUAAGUGAAUACCUUGCUGUUUUGACGUUACCAACAGAAUAAGCACCGGCUAACUUCGUG